GCAUGCAGUAAACUGUGAUUCUCCCAGGAGCUUGGCAGCACAGGCCAGGUCCUGACGUCAGGACCAGGAAUCAUCUGGCACAGCUGUCUGCACGGCCUCCCUCCCGGUAAAGCACCCCUGAGCCGGCAGAUGGGUGUCAGGGUCUCAUCUCCAACUUUACUAAUAAUUUGGGCCGUUAAGCUACAGGUGAGGGUGUCAAGGCCUGCCAUAGGGCUCCAGGAAACCCCAUCUCACUCACAUUGUUGGAGUGCUCGUGACCUGCCAUGACUUGUCGACACAGAGCAAACAUCUGGCACACUAAAACACCCCCUCCUUUGACAGCAUAGUGUGUGUGGCGUGUACAGCAUGUGCAAGCGGCAGUCGGAGUCUUGCUGGUGUCACAAAGGAGUGCAGGACAUUGUGCCUGAGUGCAGAAUGAUCUGGAAGAGCUUGGAUGAAUGAAACCAUUCCCCAAGCUCACCACAGUGCAAGCACUGUUCUCUGAACUGAAUCAGGAAAAUGUUCUGGGCUGUCUGCAAAUGGGCUGAAAAUGUUCUGGGCUGUUUGUGAUCGGAAGUGUUAUUUCAAUGUUGGGCCUCUGAGCAAGGUUCUUAACCUCCAUUUUCUCCAGAGACUAACUUCCUGAAAACCUGAUGUCUGCUACAACUCAUCUCGGUUGGGAAGGACUGAAUAUGAGUAUUGGUAUUGGCUAUACCAGUCUUGGUUUUGAAACGACUUGGAUCGAAAUGAAAAUCAGUGGUAUCGCCGAUCCCUACCUGGGACUAGAUGACCCUGUGGAUAAAGGCAUCUGCUAAAUAACUAACAUACAAUUUACAACUAACAUACAAUUUGACAGUGACCAUGACUGCACUCCAUCAAGAAUCACAGCAGGGUUACACCAUAGACCCCGCCGAUGGGUCUGGAGGACUGACCCGGUGUGAGUCCAUAAGAAGCCCUGACAGUCCAUAUUCAGCCUUUGUUUGUCUUUGUUUGAUUACUGUUUGUCUGGAGGAUGCCUGCUUAUCUGUAGCUACGCGAGUCAGCACUUUGGAGGGGGAGGUACCUCAUAAGGUCUGUGUAUCUCUGAGAAGGUAUUCAGUUAUUUUCUCUUUUGUCUUUUUAUUAGUUCCCAAGGACUUAUACUGCUAACGGUGCUUUGACUCUGCUAAUUAUUUUCUAUGAGAUACUAAAGUUGAAUAGUGAUUUGGCUAAACAGUUGGUUGGGUUUAAUGUGCUCUUUCUGCCUCUACUGCAGGGGUGAAGCUGUUUUUACACAAACCGUCCAGGCAGUUAGGUAGAUACUGAACUAGCGGCUCAGCAACUACAGCGGGAUCUUGAUUUAAUUAGUGACUGGGCUGAUACCUGGCAGAUGAAAUUUAACAUAGACAAA